rnacentral:tRNA from 1 species
AGUAAGUUAAUGAAAACUAGUACAGUUCAAUUGUAUAAUUAAGCCAAUUUGGUUUCUG